UGCCGCCCGGGCAUGCGGCGCGCCGCGGCUGAAGCGGAAGAGCACGGAAGGAGGUGACGAUUUAAGUGAGCGCCAGCUUCGCGGGAGUGGCUCUAAAGGAAGCUCGGCGGCCGCUGCUGCUGUGAGCCUGCUCGCCGCCUCAUCGCUGACGGGGCUUCUCCUAGAGCUGGCGAAGGCAGGGCCGCAGUCCGAGCUGCCCAGCGUCUAGACCCGCGGCGGGGCAGGUGCCGGCAGCGAGAGAUGUAGCUUCAUCCAGAUCUCAUUAUGCAUCAUAAAAAUGAAAAAACAGAGGAAAAUUUUUUGGAGAAAAGGAAUCCACUUAGCCUUUUCUGAGAAAUGGAAUACUGGGUUUCAAGGCUUUAAGAAGUUUUGCUUUCACCAACACUUGUGUGUUCUGAAAGCCAAGUUGGGAAGGACUAUUAUUUGGAGCAGGCAGUUGAGGCACUUACAGUGCAGAAAGAAGGUCCUUCAUAUCCAGAAAACGUGGAUCCAGGAUAAACCUCUUUUUGCUAAGACAGAGUCCAAUGUGGCUGCUCAAAAUGUUAGUACUUUUUCCUCUAAAGUGAAUAGAAAAGACACUAAACACUUCAUUUCCUCUUCAAGGACCCUCCUGAAACUCCAAGCAGAGAAGUUGCUGUCAUCAGUAAAGAACUCUGAUUAUGAAUACUGUGGAAAUAAAAGUUUCUUGAAGGCGGUUGCUGACUUACCAACAAAUAGUGUUUUAGGUCGGGCCAGUGGUCACAGACCUAGGACAGAGCUGCAAGCUUCUGACUUUCCCAUGAAGUUCAAUGGGGAGAACCAAAGUUCAUGUGAGAGUGGCACAAUUGUGGUCACCUUGAGCAACCAUAAGAGAAAGCGCUUUUGUUAUGGCUGCUACCAAGGACUGGAGCACCACAGGAAUGGGGGACCUCUAAUUCCAAAAAAGAUCCAACUUAACCAACACAGAAGAAGUAAAGUGUCUCCCCUUAUGAUGUAUGAGAACUUAUCCAUGAUUAGGUUUCGGUACAGGAUUCUCAGAUCUCAGCACUUCAGAACAAAAAGCAAAAUUUGCAAGCUUAAAAAAGCCCAGCGAAGCUGGUUGCAGGUCACUGGGGACCAUCAGGAGACCCUUAGGGAGAACGGUGAGGGUGGCAGUUGCAGCCCAUUCCCUGCCCCAGAACCUAAAGACCCUUCUUGUCAGCGCCAACAACUGUACUUCCCAGAUAUGGACAGCAAUGCUGUGGGAAAGGGGAAGAACUCUCAUGUACCUGAUGGCCACACUAAAGGAAGCCCUUUCUUGGGCAAGGAGCUCAGUUUAGAUGAGGCGUUCUCUAACCAACAGAAUGGCAGUGCCACAUACACCUGGGACCAGUCACCCUGUUCAUCUCCUAAGUGGGAGUGUACAGAACUGAUUCGUAACAUCCCCCUUCCAGAAUAUCAUUCUAGUAACACGUUUAUCUCAGAAAUGGAAAGAGAAGUUACGACUCUGGGUCAGGAAAAUCGGACAAGUACUGUCAGUGAAAACAGAGUAAAACUGUCAGUGUCUGGGGCAGAUCAGUCUGUGAGUGGAGUAGACCGGCCAGUGUCCAGAGAGACUGUCCAGAAUGAGACCUCAUGCCAGAUGGAUGAGGAUGGAUCUCUUAAGCAGAACAUUCUUAGUUCUAAGUUGUUGGACCACCCUUACUGUAAAAGCCCACUGGAGGCUCCUCUGAUGUGCAGUGGGCUCAAACAAGAAAAUCAAGUGGGUGGUGGGAAGACCAGUGAAAAAGCAUGUCCAGUGGAUGAUGAACAGCUGUCAGUCUGCCUUUCUGGAUUCCUAGAUGAGGUUAUGAAGAAAUAUGGCAGUCUGGUCCCACUCAGUGAAAAAGAUGUCCUUGGAAGAUUAAAAGAUGUCUUUAAUGAAGAUUUUUCUAAUAGAAAACCAUUUAUCAAUAAGGAAAUAACAAACUAUCGAGCAAGACAUAAAAAAUGCAACUUCCGUAUCUUCUACAAUAAGCACAUGCUGGAUAUGGAUGAUUUGGCGACCCUGGAUGGUCAGAAUUGGCUGAAUGACCAGGUCAUUAAUAUGUACGGUGAGCUGAUAAUGGAUACAGUCCCAGACAAAGUUCACUUCUUCAACAGCUUUUUUCAUAGACAGCUGGUAACCAAAGGAUAUAAUGGAGUAAAAAGAUGGACUAAAAAGGUGGAUUUGUUUAAAAAGAGUCUCCUGUUGAUUCCCAUUCACCUGGAAGUCCACUGGUCUCUUAUUACUGUGACACUCUCUAAUAGAAUUAUUUCUUUUUAUGAUUCCCAAGGUAUUCAUUUUAAAUUUUGCGUAGAGAAUAUAAGAAAGUAUUUGCUGACUGAAGCCAGAGAAAAAAAUAGACCUGAAUUUCUUCAGGGUUGGCAGACUGCUGUUACAAAGUGUAUUCCACAGCAGAAAAAUGACAGUGACUGUGGAGUCUUUGUGCUCCAGGUUAACAUUACUUGGCGAUCAGAAGUGGCAUCCAAAGAUCCCCAACAACUCCAAGGCUUGUGAGUGAAUGGGUACUGGUACCCACCAAGCCCAUUAAGCUCAGUGCUUGCUUGCUAGCCCUAGAGUUUGAGGGUUGAACCAGGAUCUUUCUCUUUCAGUUAAAAGGACCAGGAUGGAAUGGAAAACCAUGUCCACUCCAGAUUUAGUUAAUUUGGCAAACCAGCUUCUCCACACCAUAGGUGAGUCACCUAAAAGAAAGAUUGCUAAAAUUCUCAACUUUCAACUUUGGCAAAUGAAGACUCCUAAACAAAACCAAAAACCUAGUUGUUGCUGUUGUUGCAAAGAGCCUGGACAUUACAAAAAAGACUGUUACAAAUUAAAGUGCCUCAGGCCCUUCAGCUUGUUAGCCAGGCUUUCCAAUGUCCUCCUAGUUCCCAAUGAUGAAAUGCCAAGGACUAUUUGGCUCUUCCAAUCCUCCCUCUUAAUCAGCUCAGAAAAACCACCCUCCCAGAUUAGGAAUAGGCCUCUUUGUCCUGACUGACACUGGGCUACAUUUCCUGGGCUCAAACCCACUGCUAUAAAGCAACCCGUACUCAGAACACUAAAACACUUCACAUAGUGAGGUGUGUCAUAAACCCCAACAAGUUCCUGUCUCUGAACCUACUCCCUUUUGUUUACGCCCUUUGAGAGAUACCCUUUCUCCUUAGUUCCUCUGCCCCUAUUAGUUUAUUGGGCCAAGAGUUCUUUAAAUAAAGAACAUGCCAGCAUUUCUCCCAAAAGGUAAAUAAUUCUAGAAUUUGACAGUAGUCAAAAUUAUCAACCAGAGUAAUUAAAUGACCCCUAAACAUCUUUGAUUUGCUCCAUCUCUGAUGGCACUUUAGCCAGUCUGAGGGCACUGACCAUUUGUUUCUAUGGAUCAGCUACCAUCCUAUUUAUUGGCAAGAUCUUCAACUGCUAUUAGCAGAAUCCAUAGUGCACCUCCCAUUAAGAUUCAAAUAGAUUCCUUAAAAACCUCUCCCCAGAAUUAAUCAAGCCCUUCAAAGCAUCAAGCCCAUGAUAGAAAAGUACAAUGCUCAAGGCCUCUUUAUCCCCCUUACUAGUCUCUGUAAUACCCCUAUUUUACCUGUGAGAAAAUCCAAUGGCCAGGGAUGGAGGUUUGUCCAGGACCUUAAGCAUUAAAUUACACUGUUAUCCUUCAGCACCUUGUUGUUCCUGACCCCACAAGCUGCUGACACCAUUCCCACUGAAAGCAUAUUUUUUACUGUAAUUUAUCUAUGCAGUGCAUUUUAGUAUUCCACUUGAUAAGGAUAGCCACGAUCAUUUUGCUUCCACUUGAGAAGAACAGAAAUACAACUGGACCCAAGGUUUCACAGAAGGUCUUUAUUUCUCACAAACUUUAAAAGCUAAUUUGGAUGAUACAUAAUUUUCUGCAGUCUCUACUUUGUACAAUAUCUAGAUGAUUUGCUUCUCUGUUCCCCUUCUCAAAACUCUCCAUAGGAAGACAACAUUCGCCUGUUAAAAUUUUUAGAUUUAAGGGGACAUAAAGUCUCCAAAGAAAAACUGCAUUUUGCUUAUAUUCAGGUCUGGCACCUAAGGCAUCUGAUCUCAGACUAGGAUUACAUGUGGAUCUAGAUGAAACCCCUUAACAACUACUUAACACUAAUGGAUCACCUUUUGAUUUUCCAUGACAAUUUACAGGAAACUCCUUGUUAAACAAUGUAGCUUUUUCAUGGUUUACUGAUGAUUCUUAAAGAAUUUAAAUGGUAAGUAUCAUGCAGUACAGUAUUACAACUAUUUUUGAAAUUAUUGAGCCAGCACCUCUACUUUUGGCUACUUUGGCCCAGCAAGCUGAGCUUUAUGCCCUUAACUAAGGCUUGUACCUUCAGCCAAGGGUAAACUGCAAACAUUUAUACUGAUAGUCAGUAUGCCUUUGGGGUAGCUCACAACGUUGGGGGUAUUAUGGGAACAAUGAGGUUUCUUAGCUCUAAUGAGGAUAAAAUUAGAAAUGGCUCAUAUGUUCAAAAUUUAUUAGGUGCAGUGCUUUUGCCAUUGGCUGUGGCUAGUAAGGUCCCUGGGUAUUCUAGACUUGAUUCCCUGGAGGUCAAAGGACCCCACCUUGCUGAUAUUUCUAUCUAAAACACUGCUCUCAAGGUAACAAAUAUCCAAACCUCUGUCAUGCUCCAAAAGGAUGUUCUCCCAAAUGAUAAUUCAGAAAAACUGAAAAAUAUACACAAUUGGCCCCAGAAAUGAAAAACAGUAUUGGAAAUCUAGAAAUUGUUGGUUUGAUAAAAAGAGAAAACUUUCAUUUGAACCAAAUAACAAUCCAGCUCUACCAGAAAUUCUAAAAGUCCCACUACUUACCACUGUACAUUCAUCAAGCCAUUGGUCAGGACAAAAUCAGAGCAUUCAUGAACCAGUAUCGGUGAUACUAGUAAGGCCACAAAAAGUACCUACCUCACUUGUCCCACCUGUUAAAAGUAUAAUCCUGGGAUACCUGUCCAUGUAGCCCUCUGGGCAUUUCAGUUGCCCAAUGGGCCAUCUGAGGUUUAGCAAAUUGAUUUCGUACAGCUUCCCAUGUCAUGGAUAAAUGUUUUAGUCAAGGUUUGUAUGUUUUUUCACUGGACUGAAGCUUUCUCUUGUAGAUGGAUCAAUGCUUUUUCUGUGGCUAAAAUGUCUGUUUGAAAAGAUUAUCCAUCCUGGGGAACUCAUCUUAUACUUCAUAGUAAUUGAGAAACCCAUUUACUGGUCAGGUACUUUGAUCAGUCUGGGCUGUGUGGCCCAUUUUAUGCUUUCAUUGUGCAUACCACCCUCAAUCCUCAGGGUCAUUUAUACACACUAAUGGCACUAAGACUCAUUGGCAAGUUUGUAGAGACACUCCAAAUACCUUGGCCUAAGUUUGUACAGACUCUCCAUACUACCUUUAGUCCUAAAUCUCAGAUCCACACCCUUUGGAACAUGUAGACUCUCACCCUUUAAGAAAUCUCAGGAUGUCCAGUGCACUUGGCCCCUGCCUCCAUUGACCUACAUUUGAUAAAGGAGACAUACUUCAAUAUUGUAAAGAUCUAAUUACUUACAUAUAUUGAAAAUAACCAUGCUUUGAAGAGCAAUCUUUUCACAGUGUGCUUCUGGGAGACAAAGACCUUAAGCAUUAUGCCUUUGAACCUGGAGAUUUGUCUUUGGAAAGGACAACUCCAGAAAGACUCUCUUCAACCUCACUGGAAAGGUCCUCAUCAGGAACUGCUAACCAACCCUUGUGCCAACAAAUUCCGGGGAAUAGACUCUUCGGAUUCAUGUGACACAUCUGAAGAAAGGACCAGGGCUCUCUUGUCCCCUCCUGGCAUGAGCCAGGAGCUCUGUCCUCUCUCUGUAUCUGUCAAUAAAAUCCUCUCUCUAGCUCUCCUAAGAAAAAAAGAGAGAAAGGACCAAACCCUGACUGGAUCUGCGCUCCAUCUGGUGACCAGAAAAUAAAGAUUCACUGGAAUCGCAGCAGAUGAUAUCGGACAAGAUAGCUUUCCCAAGAUGUCUGGACCAGGCCUGUAUACUUUUUCUCACUAUUUGCAGCUUCUCUUUUGUGGAAAGAAAAUGCCCUGCCUGCAUUUCCCACAACCUUGCAAAUGGAAGACUCUUCUUUUGAUACAGCCUUUUGGAAAUAGCUUCAUCAUGAUCACAUGAGCUUUCUGAAGGCCUGGAAGAUUCAGAAUUCACAAGUCUUUAUUUCAUCUUAAUUAUUAACUGGCUUUGGAUUCUUAUCCAAAUUCAUGGUCUCUGAAAUUACAACCUUACAGACUACGUUUUUGGUAACAGUUACCAAACUCCCAACAUUAUUGACAUAACAAUACUAUUUUAAAAUGUCUUUAUGUUUUGCUCUUUUGCAAAAAGUUCAUCAGCUGUUGCAUCAUAUUUAUACCUACACUGUAUCUUCCCAAAUGCACUUGGUUAUUUCUUUCAGGGUGCUCUUACAGUAUACACUAUUUCACAGGCACUUUGAGCAGGGACUGCCAGAAGGCAUACGUGACUCCCGGUUGGCCUGCACAACUUCAUUUGGCUUUCAGACCUAGGGUCCUGGUUUAGAACCAACAUGCAAUUUGGAAUUGUCAUAUUACUCCUUCUGUUUGUAUAAUUAUUUUAAUUUUUGAAUUUUACUGCCUGUCAAACUUUUGUAAAAAAUGAUGUACUCAGUAAGAAAACGAUGUUCAGUGCUUAAGAUCUUCAUAAAUAAGGACUAUACUUGG